rfam:Camelus ferus unplaced genomic scaffold scaffold726, whole genome shotgun sequence.
GAGGGUAUAGCUCAAGUGGUAGGGCACGUGCUUAGCAUGCACAAGGUCCUGGGUUCAAUCCCCAGUACCUCCA